rnacentral:sRNA from 1 species
UAGCAGUCCACUACUGGACAUAGGCCUC